rnacentral:rRNA from 1 species
GACGAACGCUGGCGGCGUGCUUAACACAUGCAAGUCGAGCGGUAAGGCCCUUUCGGGGGUACACGAGCGGCGAACGGGUGAGUAACACGUGGGUGACCUGCCCUCAGCUCUGGGAUAAGCCUGGGAAACCGGGUCUAAUACUGGAUAUGACUCCAUGACGCAUGUUGGUGGGGUGAAAGCCUUGUGCGGCUGAGGAUGGGCCCGCGGCCUAUCAGCUUGGUUGGUGGGGUGAGGCCUACCAAGGCGACGACGGGUAGCCGGCCUGAGAGGGCGACCGGCCACACUGGGACUGAGACACGGCCCAGACUCCUACGGGAGGC